GGCAUUUACACCCGCAUUGCUGUUAAGACAAAACCCCGCCUUCUCCCCCGCCCCCGCAGCCAGCAUCCCUGGUACUGAGGCUGCAGGAUCCUGACACAGAGAGCCUGCAGUCGCUGGGAGCCGCUCCAGGACACAGCCUAUGCAAGGGAAAAGGUUUGAACAAGAGGAGGAAGAGUAAAGGGCAGCCAGAGUCUUUGGUUUGAGUCCGGAGAGUUUGAGCAAAUAGUUGGUUGCUGGGUGGAGAACAGUGGAGGGGCAGUUACCUGGCUAUGUUUUCUCUCCCUGCUCUACCUUGAGCUCCGAUCAGCCAGAUGUCCAGAGUGGGGACUCACCACUGCAAGGGCCUCUGGCCCUCAGAGCAGCCUCACAGGAAGGACUCAGGGACAUAUGAGCACAGCCAUUCAGACCAAGGACUGCGAGCCAGACUGCCUGGGUUGAAAUCCUACCCUGCUACUGACCGGCUGUGCCACUUUGGGACAACAAAGUACAGGGAAGGAUCUAGAAGCAGAUCUCUGUUUCCUAGGUCAUCAGAAAAUCGGCACUCCUGGGUUUGCUUUUACUAAAGACCUAUGCUGGUGCCUGAUCUCACUAUCCCAAAGAAAUCUGAAGAGGAUUUUUGCUUUUAAGAAAUGGCUUGGAGAAGCCAAACUCCCAAUCAAGGCGGCCUCUGGCCCUGGAAGGAUCCCACUGAACCUGUCUAAAGAGCAUCCUCUUUGCUGAAGGGUAAGAAGAGAGACUAAAGCCCAGUUCAAGAGGUUAAAGAGGGAUUUAAGGAGUUAAUAGCCCAGUGUGGCCUACUCUUGGGCUUUGAAUCCAAGGCAGCAACUCUGUGGGGAGCUUUUGACUCUGGGAGACACGGAAGGAAACAGGCUAAUGAACUAAAAAAUCAAUACCCUUAUUAAAAUUCACACAUUUGCAUAGCAUCA